rnacentral:tRNA from 1 species
UAGCUCAGUUGGUAGAGUGCUUGCCUUGCAUGCACAAGGCCCUGGGUUCAAACCCCAG